UUGUUCUUCUUCACCCGAUAAACCCCAAUUAAUUUAGGGUUUUCAUCUUCAUCGUUACCUCAGAAAAACUUCUCCAAAUUCUAGCAAUCCGAUUCGAAUUUCGCAUACAAUAUCACGAAAACAGCACCGUUUUGGAUCCAUGUGUUGAUUUGCAGAUUCGAAAAUGACACGGGCUUAUACUAUGAAGGGGAAGAAGCGAAAGAACAAGGAAGUGUCAGGGAAGUACAAUCGUGAAGAAGAUGAAGAAGAACAAGUCCAAUCAAAGAAACCAGCGAUUCAGAGAAGAACCAACGUCGGUAGUUACAAAAACUGAGGAAAGUAGUGAACUUGCAGGUAUUUCAAUUGCUCCUUCAUUUGAAAAACCAGUGAUAAAGCGGGUGUUAUUUUCAUUCUAAUCUUUUCAUAUUGUUAAAUGUGUUUAAGAAUUACUUCUAAGGUUAGAUAUAUGAUUGAUUGUGAACUAUGAAGCACAGACACAUAGACACAAAUUAAACAUAAUCACAAGUGUGUUGUGCGGUUUCGGUCCGCGACACUGACACAUUUUUUCAGAGGCGUCGGUGCUAGAUAGGUUUACAUCAAUGGAUAUUUUUCUCUAGCUAAGUUAUUAUACUUUUUGAUUUAAGUUCUGAUAUAUUUAGCAGAUGCUGCAGUAUAACUACUGCAAGGAGGUUAAUUUCUAAAUUGUACUUCAAUGCUAAUUUUUCCAGCAUUUUGUAUAUUUUGAUAGUCCUAGUUGUAUUUGUUAACAAAAUCCAACUACACAAUCUUCGGGUCCUCGUCGUCGGCCGAAACAGGUAAGUCAAUUCAUCUCUACACAACUGCCUCUAACACUGUCAGUUAUAAUAACUCUAAUCACGUGCGUGUGUGUGUGUGUGUGUGUGCGUAACAGAGAAAAGGUGAAGCUCUCGUUGUUUUUUUGGAUGACCGGGUUUAAGAUUGGUGAUAUUCGUUAAGUGUUGAAUUGAAAAAGUCAGCUUUGGAGUUUUGUGUUUUUGGUAAUAUUCCAGGAGAGGACUCUUCUAAAAUUCUGCAAUGUCCUUGUCUUAGGUGCAGUGCAGGGCAGACUCACUUUCAAUUGUCUUCAACACUAACCUCUUCAUCCUCUAAACCACUCAUGUUCCCAGGUCUGAAGCUUGAAUGGAUGUGGUUGAAAGUUGUUAUGAUGCUGAUCUGAGUUGUUGUGAAUUUGUGAUGAUGAAGGAAAUGGAAGCUACCGUUGUUGACAGCGGCAAUGGAACCGAGACUGGACAUAUCAUUGUGACUACUAUUGGUGGUAGAAAUGGUCAGCCAAAGCAGACUAUAAGCUAUAUGGC